rnacentral:misc_RNA from 1 species
GAUGAAGAACGUAGCGAAAUGCGAUACUUGGUGUGAAUUGCAGAAUCCCGUGAACCAUCGAGUCUUUGAACGCAAGUUGCGCCCGAAGCCAUUAGGCCGAGGGCACGCCUGCCUGGGUGUCACACACCGUUACCCUCGCGCCAACGUCCAUCGUUGGCCGCGGCGCGGGGCGUGCGCUGACCUCCCGCGAGCGGGGUCUCGUGGUUGGUUGAAAAUCGAGUUCGCGGUCGAGGGUGCCGUGAUGAAAUGGUGGAUGGGCGACGCCCGAGGCCAAUCACGCGCGACUCUGUCCGGCUCUGACUCCUGGACCCCUUCGGCGUCUCCGGACGCUCUUUGGCGAGACCUCAGGUCAGGCGGGGCUACCCGCUGAGUUUAAGCAUAUCAAUAAGCGGAGGA